AGAUACAAUUAUGUUUAUUGUACAAAUUGUUUGGAUAAUACACACUAUGUCAUGUACUUGUUUUCACAAAAACAUUUGUGUGUACAUGAUAUUUCAGUCAAACAUUUUACUACCAUAUCCUAUAAUAUCUCUGAAACAUAUUUUCUAUAUUUAUCCAAAUAUAAACUUUAUAUAUUAGAAUAUUUCAAUUGAUGUAUAUAUUUCCCAAAAAAAAGUACUACAUCAUGAAAGCAAAAAACAUUCUUUUCACUUGAUACAAAUUAUUAUAACACUUAAAUCAUCAAUAAUUCUAAAGUACAUACAAAAGUACCAUCUGUUUCAUUGUUCAGACAGAUAAGGUUAAUUUUGUCAAGGUAACAGUCAUUUGGUAUAUACAGAAUACAGACAAUUAUUAAAUAAAGGGAAAUAACAACAUUUCUUACCUUCAAAAUUAAGAAGAUAUAUUACAUUUUUAAAACAAUACUCCUUAUGAAAUGAAACAAAAUAAAUUCCGGAACAAUUGAAAAUUUUGACCAAAUCAAGCUUAAUUAUGUAAUAAUGCAUUCAAAGCUUUUAUCUGGCAUGAUUAUACAUGUGAGAAAUCAUUUAUUAAUAACCAGCCCCUGCAGAACUGAAUAGAAAAUAUAACUGGACCAGGCCAGGAUUGGAACUGAAGACUCUCAAACAUUAUAUUGUCACUCGAACCAAUUGAAUAUAAAAAUACAACUGAGCCAGGUCAGGAUUCGAACUGAAGACUCUCAAACAUUAUAUUGUUACUCUAACCUAAUGAAUAUAAAAAUACAACUGAGCCAGGUCAGGAUUCAAACCAAGGACUCCAUCCACAUCAUGAUAUUGUCACUCGAACCUAUUGAGUAUAAAAAUACAACUGAGCCAGGUCAGGAUUCGAACCAAGGACUCCAUCCACAUCAUUAUAUUGUCACUCUAACCUAAUGAAUAUAAAAAUACAACUGGACUAGGUCAGAAUUCGAACCAAGGACUCCAUUCACAUCAUUAUACUGACACUCUUACCUAUUGAGUAUGAAAAUACAACUGAGCCAGGUAAGGAUUCGAACCAAGGACUCCAUCCACAUCAUUAUAUUGUCACUCGAACCUAUUGAGUAUAAAAAUACAACUGAGCCAGGUCAGGAUUCGAACCAAGGACUCCAUUCACAUCAUUAUACUGUCACUCUUACCUAUUGAGUAUGAAAAUAUAACUGGACCACAUCCGCAUUCGAACCCAGGAUACCUGGUCAUUAUACUUUCACUCUAAUCUAUUGAAUAUCAAAAUACAACUAGACCAGGCCAGGAUUUGAAUCAAGGCCGGGCUCCUGAUAAAUGUACUGUCGCUCUUACUUAUAUAUAGAGUAUAAAAAUAUAAUUGGACUAGGUCAGGAUUCAAAACCAUAAAAACAAAUCAUUAUACUAUCAUUCUAACCUAUUGAGCAUGCAAUACAACUGGACCAGGUCAGGAUUCGAAACCAGGACUCCCUAUCAUUAUACCGUCACUCUAACCUAUUGAGUAUAAAAAUACCACUGGACCAGGUCAGGAUUCGAACCAAGGACUCCUUACCAUUAUACCGUCACUCUAACCUAUCGAGCACAAACAUAUAUCUGGACCAGGUCAGGAUUCGAACCAAGGCCUCCUUAUCAUUAUACUGUCACUUUAACCUAUUGAGUAUAAAGAUAUAACUGAGCCAAGCCAAGAUUCGAACCCAUGACUCCCGAUAUAUACCGUCACUCUAACCUAUUGAGUUUACAAAUACAUAACUGGGCCAGUACAGGAUUCGAACCGAGGACUCCUUGUCAUUAUACCGUCACUCUAACCUAUUGAGCAUACAAAUAUAACUGGACCAGGUCAGGAUUCGAAACCAGGACUCCUUAUCAUUAUACCGUCACUCUAACCUAUUGAGUUUACAAAUAUCACUGGAACAGGUCAGGAUUCGAACCAAGGACUCCUUAUCAUUAUACUGUCACUCUAACUAAAAUAUUGAGCAUAAAACAAUAUAACUGGACCAGGUCAGGAUUCGAACCCAGGACUCCUUAUCAUUAUACCGUCACUUUAACCUAUUGAGAAUAAAAAUACCACUGGACCAGGUCAGGAUUCAAACCAAGGACUCCUUAUCAUUAUACCGUCACUCUAACCUAUUGAGUAUAAAAAUACCACUGGACCAGGUCAGGAUUCGAACUAAGGACUCCUUAUCAUUAUACCGUCACUCUAACCUAUUGAAUAUAAAAAUAUAACUGAGCCAGGCCAGGAUUUGAACCCAGGACUCCCGAUCAUUAUUAAUGUCACUAACUUAUUGAGUAUAAAAAAACAUCUAAACCAGGUCAGGAUCCAAACCAAGGACUCAUCAUAUUAAUUGCACUCUAACCUAUUGAAUCUAAAAAAACAAGAAGACCAGGGCAAGAUUCAAACCAAAGGCUUUCGUCUAUUAUACUAUCAUUCAUUCACUGUAACUUUUUGAGUUUAAAAUACAACUAGGCAAAGCCAGGAUCCGAACCAAGUACUCCCGAUCUAUACCGUCACUCUAACCUAUUGAGUUUACAAAUACAACUGGGCCCGGCCAGUAUUUAAGCCGAGGACUCCCUAUCAUUAUACUUUCGCUCUAACUUACUGAGCUAUCUAUAGCUACUCAAUGGUAAAAGACUGGCCCAGUUGUUCUACAUUUACAUAUAUGUCAACAUCAUCAACAUUUGUUUCAGUUACAGAUCCAUGAAGCGUAUUUAAGUUAUAUUUGUUAGAACACUGGAUCACAGUCAUCGCGUAGAAAGUAAUUUUGACCAUUUCAAGCAAGUGAAUUUGUUGACAAAUAUUUGUUAUGAUUUUUAUUGAACAGUUUCCAUUUGCUAGUUUUUCGUUGUAUGCAGGUUUAUCACAGUCCUCGCUAAUUUCAACAGAUAAACAUGAAAUAAGUAUGAAAUCCUGCCACUAGUUUUCACUUGAAAUACUCAUACGCUACAGAAUAAAAAAAAAACAAUAAUAAAAAAAGCAACUGUGAAUGAAUUUGCUUUUAAAAUCAUACUGGAAUUUGUCUAUUUUAUUACGUUUCAAUUGUGCAAGAAUGUUAAAAAGAAAAAGAAAUUAUUGAGCUUACCUAAAAUUUCACUCAUUCCUUAUUCUUGUAUUUUUGUAUUGGUAGCUGCAGAGUUUGACUAUUGUUUCUCAUCUCAUAAAACCUCAACAACUUGAACAAGAGGCCCGCUUAAAGGCAGGAAAGCUGUCAAAUAAAUCUAUCAUGUCUGAUUGGCACCAAAGGAGUUAACAGUGAUUCCAAAAUGGGAUCUGAUAUAUAGGUUACCUUAAAAUGACUAUGCUAACAAGUCUGUUAAGAUGAAAUGUGAAAUUAACUGUACACUGU